GACGAACGCUGGCGGCGUGCCUAAUACAUGCCAGUCGAGCGGACGAAUCGAAAGCUUGCUUUUGAUUCGUUAGCGGCGGACGGGUGAGUAACACGUGGGCAACCUGCCCUGUAGACGGGGAUAACACCGAGAAAUCGGUGCUAAUACCGGAUAACACGAAAUGUCGCAUGACGUUUCGUUGAAAGACGGCGCAAGCUGUCGCUACAGGAUGGGCCCGCGGCGCAUUAGCUAGUUGGUGAGGUAACGGCUCACCAAGGCGACGAUGCGUAGCCGACCUGAGAGGGUGAUCGGCCACACUGGGACUGAGACACGGCCCAGACUCCUACGGGAGGCAUCAGUAGGGAAUCUUCCGCAAUGGACGAAAGUCUGACGGAGCAACGCCGCGUGAGCGAAGAAGGCCUUCGGGUCGUAAAGCUCUGUUGUUAGGGAAGAACAAGUAACGCAGUAACUGGCGUUACCGUGACGGUACCUAACGAGAAAGCCACGGCUAACUACGUG
rnacentral:rRNA from 1 species